rfam:Schistosoma margrebowiei strain Zambia genome assembly, scaffold: SMRZ_contig0015192
AUCCAGCUGACGAGUCCAAAACAGGACGAAACGCGCGUCCUGGAU